AACAUCUGGAUAUCUAGUCAAAAGAUGAUGUGAUUUUUUUUUUUUUAAUAUCAUGAUUUAAUCUUCAAAUAAUUGUCAAAAUGACUACAAUUAUAAAACACAGAAGUAUUGAGAUUCUAAAGACAAAAUAAAGAAAAACUGGAAUUGAAAAUUCAAAAGGUGCACAGUGGAUGAUAUCUUCAACAAUACAUCUAAGGAAGCAAGAAGCAGAGUAAUUCUUUCACCAAAGAACUCAGACUGCCUCCUGAUCAAUGAAGAAGUUUUGAGACAACUUCCAGGUGACUGCUACACCUAUUAUAGUUCAGGUAAAGUUUUGACAAAUGAUCCUACUGAGACUGAGUGCUAUCCACUUGAAUUUCUAAACUCUUUUACACCAUCAGGAAUCCCUCCUUGUUAAUUGAGUUUAAAACCUGGCUCAAUAGUAAUGCUUCUUCAUAAUAUUUCUAUCCAGAAUGGAAUCUGCAAUGGUACAAGACUGGAAGUGGUGGCCAUGCAUCAACACUAAAUCGAGGCUUACUUGAUUGGCAGCUCACUAAUUGGCAAAUGAGUCCUCAUCCCCAGAAUAAAGCUGGCUCCAAGCGACCCUAACUUGCCAUUCACCUUAGAGAGAACCCAGUUCCCUGUCCGUUUGUCAUAUGCCAUGACUAUUAACAAACUUUUACUAAUAUAUUCCUUUAACAUUUCUCUUUCAUAUUAAUAUUAAUAUAAUAAUUCUUAAUUAAAAUUAAGAGAAUGAUGUGGAUUCAAAGUGUCAAUGUUCAGCAUUACUACCCGUCAGUCAACCAGUUUUGCCGAUACAUUUUUUCUCUUAACUUUUGU